UUAGCUGUGAUGAGAAAGCUAACACGUAAGAAGAAGUACUCCUUUGUGGUGUAUUUCUUCAAUGAAAUACAUUUGUUACGCUUGGCUUCUGAGUUAA
rfam:Arabidopsis thaliana chromosome 4, complete sequence.